rnacentral:rRNA from 1 species
AACGAACGCUGGCGGCAGGCUUAACACAUGCAAGUCGAGCGCCCCGCAAGGGGAGCGGCAGACGGGUGAGUAACGCGUGGGAAUCUACCGUGCCCUGCGGAAUAGCUCCGGGAAACUGGAAUUAAUACCGCAUACGCCCUACGGGGGAAAGAUUUAUCGGGGUAUGAUGAGCCCGCGUUGGAUUAGCUAGUUGGUGGGGUAAAGGCCUACCAAGGUGACGAUCCAUAGCUGGUCUGAGAGGAUGAUCAGCCACAUUGGGACUGAGACACGGCCCAAACUCCUACGGGAGGCAGCAGUGGGGAAUAUUGGACAAUGGGCGCAAGCCUGAUCCAGCCAUGCCGCGUGAGUGAUGAAGGCCCUAGGGUUGUAAAGCUCUUUCAACGGUGAAGAUAAUGACGGUACCUACAGAAGAAGCCCCGGCUAACUUCGUGCCAGCCGCCGCCGUAAAAC